UCAUAGGACUAUAGAGCCAAAGCUGAG
rnacentral:piRNA from 1 species